UACAGAGGGUGCAAGCGUUAAUCGGAAUUACUGGGCGUAAAGCGCAUGUAGGUGGGUAUUCAAGUUUGAUGUGAAAGCCCUGGGCUUAACCUGGGAAUGGCGUUGAAGACUGGAUAGCUAGAGUUUGACAGAGGGCCGUGGAAUUUCCGGUGUAGCGGUGAAAUGCGUAGAGAUCGGAAAGAACACCAGUGGCGAAGGCGGCGGCCUGGGUCAAAACUGACACUGAGGUGCGAAAGCGUGGGGAGCAAACAGG
rnacentral:rRNA from 1 species